AAUCUAUUAGCUCAAAUGGAAGAGCGUUGUGCUAUGCAUAAGAUGUGGGUUCGAUUCCCAAAUAGGUUA
rnacentral:tRNA from 1 species